rnacentral:rRNA from 1 species
GGACAAUAGUACGGUUUUGUCGGCAUAGAUGCAGUCGACGGACUUACUCAUUCUUUUAGAUUGAGAGCGGUUAGUGGCGGACUGGUGAGUAACACGUAAGCAACCUGCCUAUCAGAGGGGAAUAACAGUGAGAAAUCAUUGCUAAUACCGCAUAUGCUCACAGUAUCACAUGAUACAGUGAGGAAAGGAGUAAUCCGCUGAUAGAUGGGCUUGCGUCUGAUUAGUUAGUUGGUGGGGUAACGGCCUACCAAGACUACGAUCAGUAGCCGGACUGAGAGGUUGAACGGCCACAUUGGGACUGAGAUACGGCCCAGACUCCUACGGGAGGCAGCAGUCGGGAAUAUUGCGCAAUGGAGGAAACUCUGACGCAGUGACGCCGCGUAUAGGAAGAAGGUUUUCGGAUUGUAAACUAUUGUCAUUAGGGAAGAUAAAAGACUGUACCUAAGGAGGAAGCCCCGGCUAACUAUGUGCCAGCAGCCGCGGUAAUACAUAGGGGGCAAGCGUUAUCCGGAAUUAUUGGGUGCAAAGGGUGCGUAGACGGAAGAACAAGUUGGUUGUGAAAUCCCUCGGCUCAACUGAGGAACUGCAACCAAAACUAUUCUCCUUGAGUGUCGGAGAGGAAAGUGGAAUUCCUAGUGUAGCGGUGAAAUGCGUAGAUAUUAGGAGGAACACCAGUGGCGAAGGCGACUUUCUGGACGAUAACUGACGUUGAGGCACGAAAGUGUGGGGAGCAAACAGGAUUAGAUACCC